UACAGGGGGUGCAAACGUUGCUCGGAAUCAUUGGGCGUAAAGCGCACGUAGGCGGUCUGUUAUGUCGGAUGUGAAAGCCCUUGGCUCAACUGAGGAAGUGCAUCCGAAACUGGCAGGCUAGAGUACUAAAGAGGAUCGCGGAAUUCCCGGUGUAGAGGUGAAAUUCGUAGAUAUCGGGAGGAACACCGGUGGCGAAGGCGGCUACCUGGACCGGUUCUGACGCUGAUGCGCGAAAGCGUGGGGAGCAAACAGG
rnacentral:rRNA from 1 species